AGCCCAUGGUGCAGACAAAGUCUCAUAAUUUCCUUGAUUCACUCAUAUGCUUCGAAGAGUGAUUCAUCGUCAUUUUUCUUUUAAAGGGAGUAAUUUGAUUCCUAUGUU